rnacentral:lncRNA from 1 species
AAUGAUUUUCUAAAGUAGAAUAUAAGCUAUAGGAUAACAAGGUAGAUGCAGUCUCUACCCUCAGAACCUAUAUUCCUUCAAGGAAGAUGUAUAACUAAACUGGUAAUGACAGGAACGUACACUGGUAUGACAGAAGCUCAUGGUGCUCUGGGAAUCCAGAAAAAGGGCCACUGGUCCAGGCUUGUUUACAGAGCUAAUGAAGAAUCUUAGGAUAUUUACCAUUAUUCACUGUCCCUUAGAUGAUAUAGUCUCUUUAUGCUAAAGGGAUAGUAGAGUCAGAGGUCCCCAGGAUCUGAUCUGAGCUGGUUAUGAUUGACUACUCAUAACCAGUGUCAGAGAAAUGUUCAUACUGCCAGGAUCCAUUCAGAUAUAUGGAAACAGAUGUUGCCUGAGGACAUGAUGUGAGGUUCAGAGAAGUGAAUCAUUUUGCACGUGGCCAACAGACAAUUGUGUGCUAUAAAUUACAGUCAUUGUGACCAGAUUCAAGGGUUUUACUCCAGCAAUUUUGUUCAUCUUUUGUCACAGGGUAACAUGAGAAAAGAAAUCACAAAUAUAGAUGGCAUCAAAAUAUUCUCAAGAAACUAGUGGACUGCACAGCAUAGGUCAGAAUAGAAAGUUCAUCUCAAAGAAGCAUAUUGUGGCUUUUCUGAAAAUGGAUUGCACACACCCCUUCUGCAAAACACGUAUCAGAAUAUACCUUUGACGCUUGUAUUUCUGGGACCUUAUCUCUUUCAGGGCAUUCACUGCAUCUUUGCAGCUCCCCUAUCUCUAUUUUACAUAGCUCAUACCUCCCUUGAUUUUCUAGAAUUCAGGCAGGUUAUUCAUUUCGGAAGAUCACAGAUAUUUUUUAAAAAAGUAUAUACCACGAAUAUUGGAG